rnacentral:rRNA from 1 species
UACGGAGGGUGCAAGCGUUGUCCGGAAUCACUGGGCGUAAAGGGCGCGUAGGCGGCUCAUGAAGGCUGUGGUGAAAGUCCGGGGCUCAACCUCGGAUCGGCCGUGGCGACUCGUGGCUGGAGCACUGUAGAGGCGGGUGGAAUUCCGGGUGUAGCGGUGGAAUGCGUAGAGAUCCGGAAGAACACCAGUGGCGAAGGCGGACCCGCUGGGCAGUGGCUGACGCUGAGGCGCGACAGCGUGGGGAGCAA